CGCAGUGCGUCACGAAGCACCCAACCGCGGCGUGGUUCAAAACCCUAAUCUGGGAGCACCACUCCACCACCAUCCCCUUCUGAUCCGGCUCCUCCGGCUCGAUCGACUCCGCCUCCUUGUUGUCCUUCCGCACCACCCACAGGUACGGCCUCCCGCUCUCCUUCAAGCCCUUGCGUAUCUCCUCCAUUUGCCGCUUCUUCACCACGGACAUGCUCCCGAAGGACACGUACACCACCGACCCCUCCGCCUUCCCAUCGAGCCACUCCAUGUAACGCUUCUCGUCGGGGGCGAAGAGGUCCUUGGACUCCGCGGCGCCCUCUAGGGCUGCUAGGGACGGGAUCACGGGCCCGAUCGCGAUUAGGUUUAGGUCGUCGACGGAUUUGAGCGCGGUGCGCUCCAGCGCGUCGAAGGUGUUCACCAAAACGGUCGGCUUAACCCCCGUGGGGUGGGCUCCGUCCUCGCCGCGCUCGAUUGCGUCGAGCGUUUCCCUGAACUCGUCGAGGAAGGCCGCGUAGGGAUCGUCCUCGGACGUGGUGGCGAGGAAGGAGGGGAGGUCUCGGAUUCUGAGGGGAGAGAGCCCCGGCAGGGUCACGGUGUGCGCGGGGGCGCCGGCGUUGGCGGCGGCUGCGAAGGCGGCGACGGCGCCGCCGUAGCCGUGGAAGUAGUGGUAGUAGACGGCGAGCGCGGUGGCGGGUUGGAUCCAGCAGAGCACCGCGGGGACGCCGUGGGCCCGCGCCACGUCGGCGACCCACGGCAGCAGGAUUGUGUACAGGACGCAGGUCACGCGCUCGUCGCGCGCCGAGAGGCGGUCGAGCACCGCGGAGAGGGUCCUCGGCCCCACCUGCUUGAUACGCAACGUCGGGCUGUUGGCGGCGGUAUCUUUGUUGUUGUUGCGUUUGAUGCCGUCGUCGUAGGGAAUGUAGGAGAGGAGGCCGUCGGAGAACUCUUGAUCGUGGGAGGAGAGGGAGGGGAACAUGCGGCGGUGUGCGGAGAUGCCGGUGGAGAAGGUGACGCGGGCGCCGGUGGUGCGGGCGAGGCGCCGCGCCAGGUGUUGGGACGGGUUGAUAUGGCCUUGUGCCGGGUAGGUCACCACCAGGAAAUGCUGCUGCUGCCGACGAAGCUGCUCCAUAUCUACAACUGCCGAAGACAAAAAAAUGGAUAUAUAUAUAUGAAUUCAACAAAAGAGAGAGAGAGAGAGGUUGAGCUUAGUAUUUCUCUUCUCGUACAUCUACAGCGGGUGAGGAGGGGAAGGGUGACGUCAACGGUGAGAAGGGGCUCUUUUCUCUCUCUCUCCCUCUCUCUCUCUCUCUCUCUUCUUCUUUUUUUUUCCCUUUUCGCCCCUAAUUAAGAACAAAAGUUAGAUAAAAUGCAGCAUACAUACAUGUUAAGAGGAAGGAUACUUAGCUAGCUAUAUCUAGGAGGUGGUUGAGAGUAGUUUAAAGGCGUGUGGGUCUAAGCUCACGGAGGGCGGCGGAGACGGAGAGUCGGCGGCGUCGGGAGAGUCGGGGUGUGGUGGGGUCGCUUUGUUUGUUUGUAGAAGGGGCCCCAGAGACACAUUGGUGACGUUGGCGGUGACGCUAAGAUAAAAUAGGAGAAAGAAAUCCUGUGGGCUGCUGACGUCUCUAGUCUUAUUUGAAAAAAUAUUAUUACUCUAACCUUCAAUAAUUUCUAAUCUAAUCUCUUUGAAACUAACUAAAAAAAAAUUUAAUGUAAAAUAUUUUAUUUAUUGGUAAUUAUGGGCUCUCACCUUUCCCCCUCUUCUUUUUUUCUUUUUCUUUUUUAUUAAUAACUUGGAGUUCAUAAGAGUAGGAAGAGAGAGAGAGAGAGGAGGCGAUGGGCGGGAGGGCGCAGCUGCCAGGAGGGAAGAGCACGAGAAAUUCUACACUACCAUAUUUAUAUCAUAUUAUCAAUAACAAGCCAAUCAUAUUUCUUUUUUUUAAUAAAAAUAUAAUAAAUAUAUAUUUUUACAAUCAUGAUGAAAUAUAUAUCUCUAAAAGAAGACAUUUGAUUAAUUUGUUAUGUUACGUCACUAAUAUAUCCGUUGUAUUUUAGAAUUUUUCGAAGAGCACAAGGGAGGCCCGUUGGUGGGAGAGAUAGAAAGAGAGGAAGAGAGAGAGAGCUCAGUUAGGAGUUGCCGGGUGGAGGGAGGGAGGGAGAGAGAGAGAUGGGGUGGGAAGGAGAGAGAUUUUUUUUUUUUUUUUCUUUGGAGUUGCAAGGGAUGAUACUCAUGCAGAUCGGAGCCAAGCAAAGAUAGAUGUUUCCACAUGAAGAGAUAAUGAAUAUUUUAAGAACCUUCCACGCUAGAUGGAUGAUUGUUUGAGCACCCACGGUUAAGAAACUAUUUUCCGUGAUUUAAGUUUUCAUAAAAUUUGGUUUCUUUUCUUUUCACAUAAUGUAAAGUAUAAUUUUUUUAUUUUUAUUGGAGAGAGAAAGGUAAUAAUUGUUUCGCUCAUUUUCUAUUAGAAUUAUUUAGGGCCCUUAGUCCUAAAAUAAUUAACUCCAUAUUUAUAUACACUCCAAAGAGCAAGGUUAUUAGCUCUUUAUCUUUUACAGACCAACCACAUAUUAUUUUUAGAGAAAACUUCAAAUACCCCCUUGUGGUUUUGUACUUUCCCACUUAGUAUUCUGUGAUUUAAAGUGUAUCAAGUUAGUAUCAUGUGGUUUCGCACUUUUUUAUUUUAGUACCCUAUGGUUUCAAGUGUAUAAGUUAGUACCUUAUGAUUUUAUUUUUAUAUCAAGUUAAUAUCUUGUGGUUUCAAUUUUCUCUUUUUAUUAUCCAUUUCAGGACAUAUAAUUUAAUAAAAUAUUAAACUAUAGAUACUAAAGUGAGAAAGUGCGAAACCACAGGGUAUUAACUUGAUACACUUGAAACCACAGGGUACUAAAGUGAGAAAGUGCGAAACUACAUAAUACUAACUUGAUACACUUUAAAUUAUAGGAUAUUAAAGUAAAAAAAUACGAAACUACAAGGGGUAUUUGAAGUUUCCUCUUAUUUUUAUAUUUUA
rnacentral:lncRNA from 1 species